UGCCAGACUCCUACGGGAGGCAGCAGUGAGGAAUAUUGGUCAAUGGUCGGGAGACUGAACCAGCCAAGCCGCGUGAGGGAUGAAGGUACAGAGUAUCGUAAACCUCUUUUGUCAGGGAACAAAGGCGGGGACGUGUCCCCGGAUGAGUGUACCUGAAGAAAAAGCAUCGGCUAACUCCGUGCCAGCAGCCGCGGUAAUACGGAGGAUGCGAGCGUUAUCCGGAUUUAUUGGGUUUAAAGGGAGCGUAGAUGGGUUGUUAAGUCGGUUGUGAAAGUUUGCGGCUCAACCGUAAAAUUGCAAUUGAUACUGGCAGCCUUGAGUACAGUUGAGGUAGGCGGAAUUCGUGGUGUAGCGGUGAAAUGCAUAGAUAUCGCGCAGAACUCCGAUUGCGAAGGCAGCAUGCCGGCUCCACACUGACGCUGAGGCACGAAAGCGUGGGUAUCGAACAGGAUUAGAUACCCUGGUACCG
rnacentral:rRNA from 1 species